UACGGAGGGAGCUAGCGUUGUUCGGAAUUACUGGGCGUAAAGCGCACGUAGGCGGCUUUGUAAGUUAGAGGUGAAAGCCCGGGGCUCAACCCCGGAAUUGCCUUUAAGACUGCAUCGCUUGAAUCCGGGAGAGGUGAGUGGAAUUCCGAGUGUAGAGGUGAAAUUCGUAGAUAUUCGGAAGAACACCAGUGGCGAAGGCGGCUCACUGGACCGGUAUUGACGCUGAGGCACGAAAGCGUGGGGAGCAAACAGG
rnacentral:rRNA from 1 species